AAGCCUAUUACUUAACCCUCCAACUUCCCUUCCCCUCAUCCUCACUCUCCCUCUCCAUUCCCCCUAUCACCAAUGAAGAAAUAGUGCACCUCUCAUCUCCUUCCCAUGGGGUGGCUUCAGUCCCUCUUCUCUCCUCUGAAGAAGCUCUGGUUUCGCUUGCAUUCUGCUCGCAAAAAGAAUAGAGGGAUAUACAUCCUCUACGAGGAUGUGAAGUCAUGCCAAUGCGAAGACGUGCAUAUCUUAUGGUCGAUCCUCGUCGAAUCGCAGCCGUCGCCAUUGCGACUGAAGCAGUGAGCCCCUGCUCAUGAAUCCAUGGAAGAACACCGGAGAAGACGACGAGGUUUCUGAUGUGUGUGAUUGUAUAUACAUACUAAAUACAAAGAUAAAUGCACAGGUCAUGAGUGAGGGUGAUGAGCUCCUCCCGUGCCUCAAAUCCUUGUUUGCAGUAGUAAUAUCUGAUGUAUUCUGUGUAAUACACAAAAGAAAACAUGACAGGGUUUGGUAGAAGGCUUGUUUUCUUUUCCUUCAAAUCUGAUGGAUGUCCACUGUGGUUAGCUGUAGGGUAGCAGAGAUUUCAUUGUCACCGUGUUUCUGACACUGCAUGAGGUGAUAUAUUUCUUUGCAUC